UUGGUAUUUGGUUAUGGUAUUAUAAUUUGAGCUGAGAUUAAUACACAUAAUAUUAUAGUGAGAUAAGAAGGGUUAUUUCUACUUUAGCGUGAAAAAUUGGGCUAUUGGAGAAAUCUAGACUCAGUAAUUUAAGUGUAUGAGUGGCUAAUGUGGAUGCCAGCAGCUGCGGUUAUAUCCUUGCUUGUUUAAAUUAAUUAUGGUUUUAUUAGAUGCGUAAUUUAAACGGUUUUCUACAGGCGUGUGUUGGGCAGUUAAAUGCUACAGGGCGUAUGUUGAUGAGUUAAGGCCGGGAUGUUUCUUAUCUAAGUAUGGUCAAAAACCGGGAUUUGGUACCCCGUUAUUCAUAAAGUAAAUCAAGUUUACCGGAUGACUAUGAGUUUGUUCUCUAAAGUUAAAUAACUAGGCGGUUUCUAGUAACUAACAGGGGAAUCUGGGGGUUAAAAGAUGUUCCACUAAAAUUUGUUCCUUAAUUUAAAUUUGCGUAUGUAUGGUUGUUUAUAAUCAAUAUGUGUAAAAUAUUGGUAAAAUUCUUAGAAGAAGGAAUUCAGAUUAUCAUGUAGCUAUAUUGAGGCUUUCCUGGAUUACAGUUGAAAAGACCCUUUAUCGAAAAAUUUUGUCAAAAUAAGGUUUAGAAGGCGGACUUGUUAGUAAAGUUUUCUUAUUUUGAAAGUUUGAAAAGGUCUAUAGAGGAGUACUAAUUGCCCGUCGCUCGCGGAGGAAUCUGAGAUAAGUCGUAACAAGGUAGCGGUAUCGGAAGGUGUUGCUAAAUCAAA
rnacentral:ncRNA from 1 species